CCACCACCGUAUUUGUGGCACAGGGAAGUUUUAGAACCAGUGGAUGACAUACAGUAAACAGCAACCUGUUGCUUCAAAGACGUGCACCUAUGUCACUGUGAUGGUUGGUUAUCCUUCCUCCCUGAGUUACUAGGACAUCUCAGCAUUGCCCAAUGAGCUGCUGAUACUGCUCAGUGUGAAUGUCCUCUAUGCAUUGUCCCCGGCUGAUGGGCUACCCAGAAUGCACUGAUACAGAAGCAGUUAAGCAGAAUGGUUUGGCCUCAAACGAUGAAACCAGUGUGGCACAUGGAAAUACAACCUAGGUGGAGCUACCAUAAGAGAAGAAAGAAUCAUUCAGCAAAAGAGUCCUUGGUGAUUAUACACUGAUCCUUCAGCUUGGAUAAAUAUUGGUGAAAGUGAAGAAGACAUGCAGUGUU